rnacentral:rRNA from 1 species
UACAGAGGUCUCAAGCGUUGUUCGGAUUCAUUGGGCGUAAAGGGUGUGUAGGUGGCGCGCUAAGUCGGGUGUGAAAUUUCGGAGCUUAACUCCGAAACUGCAUUCGAUACUGGCGUGCUUGAGGACUGGAGAGGAGACUGGAAUUCAUGGUGUAGCAGUGAAAUGCGUAGAGAUCAUGAGGAAGACCAGUGGCGAAGGCGGGUCUCUGGACAGUUCCUGACACUGGGGCACGAAGGUCAGGGGAGCAAACGGG